rnacentral:lncRNA from 1 species
CGGCACGUGUAGAUUUACUGCGCUUGAUCUGAAAGACAAAAUUGGAACAAAUUAACAAUGGAAGACUUAAAGCUGACCAACCAAUAAAGUGAGAGAUAUGCAAGGCUGGUCAGGAAGAACACACUUCAGAAGAGUCAGAAGCCAAAGGGGGCAGAUGGGUGCCUGCCCGUCUGAAGCAGCAGUGCCCUGAGACAGAGAGUGUGACUGAUGAUUACCUGGGAAACGGGGCAGAGUCUGAAGAGCAUUUACAAGGACGCAGGGCAUUUACAAGGAGCAUUUACAAGGACCACCCCGCACCUUGUUCAGCUGGACGGCAGAAAGAACCAAAUGCAGGGGACCAAGUGCUUCACGCUAUGUGCUCCAGGGAGCGACGCUGAGGGAGGUGGAGGAGUGACCACCCCGAGGCUGAGGUGUGAUGACCACGGAGGUGGGGGUCACCUGAGCUUCCGCCUGUCGUCUUCCUCCUCUCUCCUCUUCCCUUGCUCUUUGCUUCUUUGCUGGCCUCCUAGGCUUGCCCCCUCUUGCACUUUCUCAGUCUCCCUCAAAUUACCUUCCCUUUGGGGGCACUGUUGUCCCUGUCCUGCCCAGCACGAACCCUCAGAGGAGGGUUGAGAUCCGCGCAGGAUCCUGUGCAAAUGAGCAACAUCUUUAGCACCCCGCUUCCUGCUGCAGGCUCAUCUCUGCAUGUUAAGUGUGGCUUGAACUUUUCCCCCUCUUUCAAAGAUGUUGUUUCUUCCAAAUGCUCAUAAACACUUUCUAACCACUUGCAGUAUGUUUUGAUUUCCCAGCUGUUCCUUCUUGGCACUCGUGUAAGGAUCCAGCCAUCUGCUUGCCAAGUUGAGAGAGGAGUGUAGAGAAGAUGCUUUUCCUUUGCACCAGACACGCUUUGACCUCUGUGUCUAGCCCUGCCCUCACGUCUGGCUCCAACAGAGGGCGGGACAUGUCCUUAAUCUAUAUUCUUUGAAAUGGUAAAACAAAAUGAUAACCAGUUUCCCCAUGAAAAAAGACAAAGAAACCACUUUCACUGAAGAGGAAAAGAGGAGAACCGAGGGAAGCGUUGAACAUUUGUG